rnacentral:lncRNA from 1 species
UAUCCUCCAACAACAAUCAUGUUAAGCAAGUGUCCGGCAGAUAUUAAUAAGUGGAAAUUACACAAUCUAAUACAUUUAAAGAUUCCAUUUGAUAAAUCAUAGGUAAAUUUUACUUUUUCAAAAAUCAGAUUUCUUUUUAUAAUUUAAUAUAUUUAAAAAUGAAUGAUUAUUUUCCCUACACAAUUCAAACCCUACAAUAUUUCACCCUCAAUUCCUUCUCUCUAUUCUCACCUCCAGAAGCCAGAAGUCUCUCUUUCUCUCUCUCUCUACAUUCUCAACUCUCCCUGUCAGAACGUGAGGCGGCUCUAUUUGUCGGCAACAUUGCCACCACAAGAAGUAGCCUGUACUAGCAACUCAAUCUAUCUAUCGGCGGCGUCUGUGGUGGUGACGGCAGUGGAUACAGAUCUAUUUGUCAGCGUCGAGUGUUUGUAAUUUUUUAUUUUUUUUCAAAUUGAAGAUGAUUUGGCAGAGGUGGUGUGGUGGAGAUAUGGGUUGUGGUGUAUGAAAAUGGUGGUGGCUGUGUCACAAUGGUGGUUUUGGAGACGCCGCUUUUGCUCAUGAGAGAAAAUUUGGUAUUGGUGGCGAUGGCCGUGGAUACAAAUCAAAUCUUGUUGUAGCUAGUGGCGUGGUGGUGUUUGCAGGUGGUUUCCGCUGUUGGUGUUUUAUGGUGGUUUAAAGUGAUUUUGGGUAGUGGUGACAGUGGUGGUCACGUGUGCGGUGUCAGGUUUUUAGGUGCUGCAGCGAUCUAGUCGUGAUCCGAUGAGCUGGUGGUAGUAGUGGCGUUGCAUUACGGUUGUUACGAAGUCCAAAUCUAGUUGUGUGAUGACAUUAUUUUGGUUGAUUUUUGCGUUUGUGUGUUAUGUCGUGGUGGUGGUUGGCAAUUUAGUGGUGUUUUUUGCAAUUGGUUGAUUUGUUUGAGGUGGUG